GACGAACGCGGCGGCGUGCUUAACACAUGCAAGUCGAACGGAAAGAGAUGAAAGAGCUUGCUCUUUUAUUAAUUUCAGUGGCAAACGGGUGAGUAACACGUAAACAACCUGCCUUAAGGAUGGGGAUAACAGACGGAAACGACUGCUAAUACCGAAUACGUUCUAAGCAUCGCAUGGUGCAUAGAAGAAAGGGUGGCCUCUACAAGAAAGCUAUCGCCUUAAGAGGGGUUUGCGACUGAUUAGGUAGUUGGUGAGGUAACGGCUCACCAAGCCGACGAUCAGUAGCCGGUCUGAGAGGAUGAACGGCCACACGGAACUGAGACACGGUCCAGACUCCUACGGGAGGCAGCAGUGGGGAAUCUUCCGCAAUGGACGAAAGUCUGACGGAGCAACGCCGCGUGAACGAAGAAGGUCUUCGGAUUGUAAAGUUCUGUGAUUCGGGACGAAAGGGUUUGUGGUGAAUAAU
rnacentral:rRNA from 1 species